GGGGAAUAUUGGACAAUGGGGGGAACCCUGAUCCAGCCAUGCCGCGUGUGUGAAGAAGGUCUUCGGAUUGUAAAGCACUUUAAGUUGGGAGGAAGGGCUUUAGGUUAAUACCCUGAAGUUUUGACGUUACCAACAGAAUAAGCACCGGCUAACUUCGUGCCAGCAGCCGCGGUAAUACGAAGGGUGCAAGCGUUAAUCGGAAUUACUGGGCGUAAAGCGCGCGUAGGUGGUUUGUUAAGUUGGAAGUGAAAGCCCCGGGCUCAACCUGGGAAUUGCUUUCAAAACUGGCGAGCUAGAGUACGGUAGAGGGUAGUGGAAUUUCCUGUGUAGCGGUGAAAUGCGUAGAUAUAGGAAGGAACAUCAGUGGCGAAGGCGACUACCUGGACUGAUACUGACACUGAGGUGCGAAAGCGUGGGGAGCAAAC
rnacentral:rRNA from 1 species